UCCUGGUGGCUCAGACGGUAAAGCAUCUGCCUGUAGUGUAGGAGACCCGGGUUCAAUCCCUGGGUCAGGAA
rnacentral:tRNA from 1 species